rnacentral:rRNA from 1 species
AGCGAACGCUGGCGGCAGGCCUAACACAUGCAAGUCGAGCGCUCGUAGCAAUACGAGAGCGGCAGACGGGAGAGUAACACGUGGGAACGUACCCUUUGGUUCGGAACAACACAGGGAAACUUGUGCUAAUACCGAAUAAGCCCUUACGGGAAAGAUUUAUCGCCGAAGGAUCGGCCCGCGUCUGAUUAGCUAGUUGGUGGGGUAACGGCUCACCAAGGCGACGAUCAGUAGCNGGUCUGAGAGGAUGACCAGCCUCAUUGGGACUGAGACACGGCCCAAACUCCUACGGGAGGCAGCAGUGGGGAAUAUUGGACAAUGGGCGCAAGCCUGAUCCAGCCAUGCCGCGUGGAUGAUGAAGGCCUUAGGGUUGUAAAGUCCUUUAACGGGAAGAUAAUGACGGUACCCGUAGAAUAAGCCCCGGCUAACUUCGUGCCA